rnacentral:rRNA from 1 species
CACAUGCAAGUCGAACGGUAACAGGCCGCUGGGAUCCCUUCGGGGUGACCUUGGCGCUGACGAGUGGCGGACGGGUGAGUAAUGCGUAGGAAUUUACCUCAAAGCGGGGGAUAGCCCGGAGAAAUCCGGAUUAAUACCGCAUGUGCUCUACGGAGGAAAGCGGGCCUCUUCUUGAAAGCUCGCACUUUGAGAUAAGCCUACGUCGGAUUAGCUUGUUGGUAGGGUAAAAGCCUACCAAGGCGACGAUCCGUAGCUGGUUUGAGAGGAUGAUCAGCCACACUGGGACUGAGACACGGCCCAGACUCCUACGGGAGGCAGCAGUGGGGAAUAUUGGACAAUGGGGCGCAAGCCUGAUCCAGCAAUGCCGCGUGUGUGAAGAAGGCCUGCGGCUUGUAAAGCACUUUUAUCAGGAAAGAAGAUCACAGGGUUAAUACCCCUGUGCCUUGACGGGUACUUGAUGAAUAAGCACCCGGCUAACUCCGUGCCAGCAGCACGCGGUAAUACGGCAGGAGUGCAAGCGUUAAUCGGAAUUACUGGGCGUAAAGCGAGUGUAGGCGGCUUCGUAAGUCGGAUGUGAAAGCCCUGGGCUUAACCUG